rnacentral:tRNA from 1 species
GCCCCUGUAAACAUGUGUGAGCAGCGGUUUCCUAAACCGUUGAUCCCAGUUCAAUUCCGGGCGGGGGCACCA